rnacentral:rRNA from 1 species
AGCGAACGCUGGCGGCAGGCCUAACACAUGCAAGUCGAACGGAUCCUUCGGGUGAGUGGCGGACGGGUGAGUAACACGUGGGAACGUACCUUUUGGUUCGGAAUAACGCAGGGAAACUUGUGCUAAUACCGAAUGUGCCCUUCGGGGGAAAGAUUUAUCGCCAUUAGAGCGGCCCGCGUUAGAUUAGCUAGUUGGUGAGG